rnacentral:rRNA from 1 species
CAAUAGCGUAUAUUAAAGUUGUUGCAGUUAAAAGCUCGUAGUUGGAUCUCGGGUCCAGGCCUGCGGUCCGCCUCGCGGCGGUUACUGCUCGUCCUGGCCUACCUGCCGGUGUGUCCCUUGGUGCUCUUGAUUGAGUGUCUCGGGCGGCCGGAACGUUUACUUUGAAAAAUUAGAGUGUUCAAAGCAGGCGUGUCGCCUGAAUAAUGGUGCAUGGAAUGAUGGAAUAGGACCUCGGUUCUAUUUUGUUGGUUUUCGGAGCUCGAGGUAAUGAUUAAGAGGGACUGACGGGGGCAUUCGUAUUGCGGUGUUAGAGGUGAAAUUCUUGGAUCAUCGCAAGACGAACUACAGCGAAAGCAUUUGCCAAGCAUGUUUUCAUUAAUCAAGAACGAAAGUCAGAGGUUCGAAGACGAUCAGAUACCAU